UACGGAGGAUGCGAGCGUUAUCCGGAUUUAUUGGGUUUAAAGGGUGCGUAGGCGGGCUUUUAAGUCAGCGGUAAAAAUUCGGGGCUCAACCCCGUCCGGCCGUUGAAACUGGGGGCCUUGAGUGGGCGAGAAGAAGGCGGAAUGGGUGGUGUAGCGGUGAAAUGCAUAGAUAUCACGCAGAACCCCGAUUGCGAAGGCAGCCUUCCGGCGCCCUACUGACGCUGAGGCACGAAAGUGCGGGGAUCGAACAGG
rnacentral:rRNA from 1 species